UACGAAGGGGGCUAGCGUUGCUCGGAAUUACUGGGCGUAAAGCGCACGUAGGCGGCUUUCUAAGUCGGGGGUGAAAUCCUGGAGCUCAACUCCAGAACUGCCUUCGAUACUGGAGAGCUUGAGUCCGGGAGAGGUGAGUGGAACUGCGAGUGUAGAGGUGAAAUUCGUAGAUAUUCGCAAGAACACCAGUGGCGAAGGCGGCUACUGGCCC
rnacentral:rRNA from 1 species